GCCCAUUUUGCUCAGUGGGUAGAGCAUUGGCUUGCUAACUGAAGGGUCACAGGUUCAAUUCCGGUCAAGGGCA
rfam:Myotis brandtii contig309431, whole genome shotgun sequence.